GCACACUCUGGAGUGGGAGGCCAAAUCCAACAUCCCUUGAUGGUGGAAUGGAGGUGUCUGUGCCUUAAGGAGCACUGCUGAGCUCUGGUCCAUCAGUGUCUAUAUGGGAGGAAAGAGAAGGCAUUGGCAGGGGAUGACCUGGGAAUAAGGGUAAGUAAGAACUGGUUCAAAUCCUCUUUUAAUAGCCAUGUCCUUAGACUCCUUGUUCUUUAUG
rnacentral:lncRNA from 1 species